UACGAAGGGGGCUAGCGUUGCUCGGAAUCACUGGGCGUAAAGCGCACGUAGGCGGAUUCUUAAGUCAGGGGUGAAAUCCUGGAGCUCAACUCCAGAACUGCCUUUGAUACUGGGAGUCUCGAGUCCGGGAGAGGUGAGUGGAACUGCGAGUGUAGAGGUGAAAUUCGUAGAGAUCGGGUGGAACACCAGUGGCGAAGGCGCCUGUCUGGCUGACAACUGACGCUGAGACGCGAAAGCAUGGGGAGCAAACAGG
rnacentral:rRNA from 1 species